GAUGAACGCUGGCGGCGUGCCUAAUACAUGCAAGUCGAGCGAACAGACGAGGAGCUUGCUCCUCUGACGUUAGCGGCGGACGGGUGAGUAACACGUGGAUAACCUACCUAUAAGACUGGUAUAACUUCGGGAAACCGGAGCUAAUACCGGAUAAUAUAUUGAACCGCAUGGUUCAAUAGUGAAAGACGGUGUUGCUGUCACUUAUAGAUGGAUCCGCGCCGCAUUAGCUAGUUGGUAAGGUAACGGCUUACCAAGGCAACGAUGCGUAGCCGACCUGAGAGGGUGAUCGGCCACACGGGAGCGGGGACACGGUCCAGACUCCUACGGGAGGCAGCAGUAGGGAACCUGCCGCAAUAGGCGAAAGCCUGACGGAGCAGCGCCGCGUGAGUGAUGAAGGUCUUCGGAUCGUAAAACUCUGUUAUUAGGGAAGAACAAAUGUGUAAGUAACUAUGCACGUCUUGACGGUACCUAAUCAGAAAGCCACGGCUAACUACGUG
rnacentral:rRNA from 1 species